UUCGCAAUGCCCGAAAGGGUGACGAAGCGACGCCGCGUGCGGGAAGAAGGCCUUCGGGUUGUAAACCGCUGUCGGGAGUUAAGAAAUGCAAGGGUGUUAACAGCAUCCUUGCUUGACUAAGGCUCCGGAGGAAGCCACGGCUAACUCUGUGCCAGCAGCCGCGGUAAUACAGAGGCGGCAAGCGUUGUUCGGAAUUAUUGGGCGUAAAGAGCACGUAGGCGGCUGUGUAAGUCGGUUGUGAAAGCCUUCCGCUCAACGGGAGAACGGCAUCCGAUACUGCAUGGCUUGAGUGCGGGAGGGGAGAGUGGAACUUCUGGUGGAGCGGUGAAAUGCGUAGAUAUCAGAAGGAACACCGGCGGCGAAGGCGACUCUCUGGCCCGUAACUGACGCUGUGUGUGCGAAAGCUAGGGGAGCAAACGGGAUUAGAUACCCCGGUAGUCCUAGCCGUAAACGAUGGGCACUAAGUAGAGGGGUUUU
rnacentral:rRNA from 1 species